CGUGAAUUUAAUCAUUUUUCGUCGUUGAUAUGAAGAUAUUAUUUUCUGUAAAUAAUUUCUAUACAAUGUUAUGAUUAUGGGCUUGAUUGGUUUUCCCUCUGCCACCCACAUCGUUUGUGGGUGGUAGCGGUUGGUAACGAUUAAUACCAAUCAUAGAAACGGUUAGAUACCACUUUGGACCGCUCGAAAUCGUCAGAUUUCAAAAGCUCAUUUCCGCAAGCGUUUGCGGUUGCGGGUGGAAGCGGUUAGGUUAAAAAGAAAA
rnacentral:sRNA from 1 species